rnacentral:rRNA from 1 species
UACGUAGGGGGCAAGCGUUGUCCGGAUUUAUUGGGCGUAAAGAGCGUGUAGGCGGCCUGAAAGGUCAGCUGUGAAAACUCGAGGCUCAACCUCGAGACGUCGGUUGAAACCAUCUGGCUAGAGUCCGGAAGAGGAGUGUGGGAUUCCCGGUGUAGCGGUGAAAUGCGUAGAGAUCGGGAGGAACACCAAUGGCGAAGGCGACUCUCUGGUCUGUAACUGACGCUGAGGCGCGAAAGCGUGGGGAGCAAACAGG